rnacentral:rRNA from 1 species
GAUGAUCUCCCGCUUGCGGGGGUGAUUAGUGGCGAACGGGUGAGUAAUACGUGAGUAACCUGCCCUUGACUCUGGGAUAAGCCUGGGAAACCGGGUCUAAUACUGGAUACGACCCCCUGUCGCAUGGUGGGGGGUGGAAAGGGUUUGACUGGUUUUGGAUGGGCUCACGGCCUAUCAGCUUGUUGGUGGGGUAAUGGCUCACCAAGGCGACGACGGGUAGCCGGCCUGAGAGGGUGACCGGCCACACUGGGACUGAGACACGGCCCAGACUCCUACGGGAGGCAGCAGUGGGGAAUAUUGCACAAUGGGCGGAAGCCUGAUGCAGCGACGCCGCGUGAGGGAUGACGGCCUUCGGGUUGUAAACCUCUUUCAGCAGGGAAGAAGCCACAAGUGACGGUACCUGCAGAAGAAGCGCCGGCUAACUACGUGCCAGCAGCCGCGGUAAUACGUAGGGCGCAAGCGUUGUCCGGAAUUAUUGGGCGUAAAGAGCUCGUAGGCGGUUUGUCGCGUCUGCUGUGAAAGCCCGGGGCUCAACCCCGGGUCUGCAGUGGGUACGGGCAGACUAGAGUGCAGUAGGGGAGACUGGAAUUCCUGGUGUAGCGGUGAAAUGCGCAGAUAUCAGGAGGAACACCGAUGGCGAAGGCAGGUCUCUGGGCUGUUACUGACGCUGAGGAGCGAAAGCAUGGGGAGCGAACAGGAUUAGAUACCCUGGUAGUCCAUGCCGUAAACGUUGGGCACUAGGUGUGGGGGACAUUCCACGUUCUCCGCGCCGUAGCUAACGCAUUAAGUGCCCCGCCUGGGGAGUAC